GAACAUUUGGAAAGGGAGAACUGGAGUGAACAAGCCAUGUUGAAGGGUGAGUGAGUGCCCAGAAGCCACAGUCCUGGGAGUAGCAUGAUGGCAGUGGACAGGCACACAAACAGGAAGAAACUGGCAGGUCUUUCCGGUGGUGACGUGAAACUCAAAGCCAUUGGAAGGAUGGCCAUGUGUUCUGAAAACGAAUCACCAGGGAGAAAGGAGCCUCUUCCACCCAGACAUACAAGAUACAUCUCACCUACCCAAUU
rnacentral:lncRNA from 1 species